CUGACACUAUCACUAUUACUGUCACUAUCACUGACACUAUCACUAUUACUGACACUAUCACUAACACUAUCAAUAUUACUGACACUAUCACUAACACUAUCACUAUUACUGACACUAUCACUGACACUAUUACUGACACUAUCACUAACACUAUCACUGACACUAUUACUGACACUAUCACUAUUACUGACACUAACACUAUUACUGACACUAUCACUAUUACUGACACUAUUACUGACACUAUCACACACUAUUACUGACACUAUCACUAUUACUGACACUAACACUAUUACUGACACUAUCACUAACACUAUCACUAUUACUGACACUAUCACUAUUACUGACACCAUCACUAACACUAUCACUAUUACUGACACUAUCACUAUUACUAACACUAUUACUGGCACCAUCACUAACACUAUCACUAUUACUGACACUAUCACUAACACUAUUACUGACACUAUCAUUAUUACUGACACUAUUACUAACACUAUCACUAUUACUGACACUAUUACUGACACUAACACUAUCACUAUAAUUGACACUAUCACUAUUACUAACACUAUUACUGACACCAUUACUAUCACUAACACUAUUACUGACACUAUCACUAUUACUAACACUAUCACUAUUACUGACACUAUCACUAUUACUGACACUAACACUAUCACUAUUACUGACACUAUCACUAUUACUGACACUAACACUA